CCGCAAAGGAGCGGAACCCUUUUCCUUUUAGUUGCCCAGCAACUUAAUUGUUGGGAAUUUUAAGGAGACCCCCGUUGACAAAACCGGAGGAAGUUGGGGAUGACGUCAAGUCAUCAUGGCCCUUACGGCCAGGGCUACACACGUACUACAAUGGUAGGGACAGAGGGCUGCAAGCCGGCGACGGUAAGCCAAUCCCAGAAACCCUAUCUCAGUCCGGAUUGGAGUCUGCAACUCGACUCCAUGAAGUCGGAAUCGCUUAGUAAUCGCAGAUCAGCAUUGCUGCGGUGAAUACGUUCCCGGGCCUUGUACACACCGCCCGU
rnacentral:rRNA from 1 species